ACGAGGACAAGGACAAGGAGGAGGAAGCGGGAGAAGAAACGAAGGAGAAAAAGAAGAAGAAGAAGAAGAAGGUUAAGAAGGUGAAGGAAGGGUCGGAUGCAGAGGAAGGGUCAGGCUCCGAGGAGGAAGAAGAAGAGGAUGAGGAUGAGGAAGAAGAGGACGAGGAGAAGGAAGGAAA